AACAAACGCUGGCGGCGUGCCUAAUACAUGCAAGUCGAACGGGUAGCAAUAUCAGUGGCGCACGGGUGAGGAAUACAUAGAUAAUCUGCCUUCGAGUCGGGGAUAACCAGUCGAAAGACUGGCUAAUACCGGAUAAGACCACAGGAUCUGCGGAUCUAGGGGUUAAAGGUUUUUCGCUUGAAGAUGAGUCUAUGCGAGAUUAGCUAGUUGGUGAGGUAAUGGCUCACCAAGGCGACGAUCUCUAACUGGUCUUAGAGGAUGAUCAGUCACACUGGAACUGAGACACGGUCCAGACUCCUACGGGAGGCAGCAGUAGGGAAUAUUGCGCAAUGGGGGAAACCCUGACGCAGCGACGCCGCGUGAGUGAUGAAGGCCUUCGGGUCGUAAAGCUCUGUCGUAUGGGAAUAACACAAUGAAUGUACCAUGCAAGAAAGGAUCGGCUAACUUCGUGCCAGCAGCCGCCGUAA
rnacentral:rRNA from 1 species